AACUAAAAAGGAUAGUGACAUCACAGGCAAAAGCACCAAUCAGUGCCAGGAGAGAUAGACCCAGCUGUCAUCCAGGGUAUCUUGCUACACAAUGCCCAUCUGGGACCUGAUUCCACCAUGAGAUGCUGGCUGCUCUUCUAUAUUUUCCUAUGUCUCCUAGAGGCAGUGCUCAUGAACACUAAAAUUUCUCAGACACCUACAUAUCUGGUCAUGGGAAGAGCAAAUAAUAAAUCUUUGAAAUGUGAACAAUAUAUGGGAAAUAAUGCCAUGUACUGGUAUAAACAGAAUGCUGAGAAGCCGCCAGAGCUCAUGUUCUUCUACAAUCUUAAACAACUGAUUCAAAAUGAGACUGUGCCCAGCCGUUUCUUACCUGAAUGUCCAGACACCUCCAAGUUAUUCCUUCACCUGUCUGCCCUGGAGCCAGAAGACUCAGCUCUGUAUUUCUGUGCUAGCAGCAAAGACACAGCCCUGCAGAUCCAUCAGCUUUCUGUACACAAACCUACAACUCCAGGAAGCUGUGGGACACCUGAGGGCUCCAUUGAACAUUUCCUGUAG